rnacentral:rRNA from 1 species
GACGAACGCUGGCGGCGUGCCUAAUACAUGCAAGUCGAACGCAGUGGGGACGGGUGAGUAACACGUGGGUAACCUCCCAUCAGAGGGGAUAACCCUUGGAAACAGGUGCUAAACCGAUACUGAUGGAUGGACCCGCGGUGCAUUAGCUAGUUGGUGAGGUAAAGGCUAACCAAGGCCACGAUGCAUAGCUGGCCUGAGAGGAGGAGCGGCCACAUGGGAACUGAGAAACGGUCCAGACUCCUACGGGAGGCAGCAUUGGGGAAUAUUGGACAAUGGGCGAAAUCCGGAGGCAGCAAUGCGGGGUGUGUGAAGAAGGCUUUCGGGUUGUAAAGUACUGUCGUCGGGGAGGCGUUACCAACAGAAGAAGCACCGGCUAACUCCGUGCCAGCAGCCGCGGUAAUAC